ACGUAUAGAGAAACCAACAGAACAUAUUAACCUAAAAAAAUAUACAACUCAUCAUGCGUAAAGGAAUUGUUGUUAAUUCAGUAAGCGGCCAACCGUUGGGAUAGAUCCACAGGUGUUAUGCGGUUUCUCUCUCCGCUCUCAGCUACUAAAUAUAUCCCACAAUU